rnacentral:rRNA from 1 species
GGACCCGCACAAGCGGUGGAUGAUGUGGUUUAAUUCGAUGCAACGCGAAAAACCUUACCCACCUUUGACAUGUACGGAAGAUCGCAGAGACGCGAUUGUGCUCGAAAGAGAGCCGUAACACAGGUGCUGCAUGGCUGUCGUCAGCUCGUGUCGUGAGAUGUUGGGUUAAGUCCCGCAACGAGCGCAACCCUUGCCAUUAGUUGCUACGAAAGGGCACUCUAAUGGGACUGCCGGUGACAAACCGGAGGAAGGUGGGGAUGACGUCAAGUCCUCAUGGCCCUUAUAGGUGGGGCUACACACGUCAUACAAUGGCUGGUACAAAGGGUUGCCAACCCGCGAGGGGGAGCCAAUCCCAUAAAGCCAGUCGUAGUCCGGAUCGCAGUCUGCAACUCGACUGCGUGAAGUCGGAAUCGCUAGUAAUCGUGGAUCAGAAUGUCACGGUGAAUACGUUCCCGGGUCUUGUACACACCGCCCGUCACACCAUGGGAGCGGGUUCUGCC